rnacentral:rRNA from 1 species
CCUACGGGAGGCAGCAGUAGGGAAUAUUGGACAAUGGGUGCGAGCCUGAUCCAGCCAUGCCGCGUGUAGGAAGAAGGCCUUCUGGGUUGUAAACUGCUUUUGCCGGGGGAUAAAAGACCCAUGCGUGGGGAAUUGAAGGUACCCGGUGAAUAAGCCACGGCUAACUACGUGCCAGCAGCCGCGGUAAUACGUAGGUGGCGAGCGUUGUCCGGAUUUAUUGGGUUUAAAGGGUGCGUAGGCGGCCCCGUAAGUCAGUGGUGAAAUACGGCAGCUCAACUAUCGAGGUGCCAUUGAUACUGCGGGGCUUGAGUACAGUCGAGGUAGGCGGAAUUGACGGUGUAGCGGUGAAAUGCUUAGAUAUCGUCAAGAACACCGAUAGCGAAGGCAGCUUGCUAGGCUGUAACUGACGCUGAGGCACGAAAGUGCGGGGAUCAAACAGGAUUAGAUACCCUGGUAGUCCGCACAGUAAACGAUGGUCACUCGGUGUUGGCGGUACACGGCCAGCGCCUUAGCGAAAGCGUUAAGUGACCCACCGUCGGGAGGUACGCCCGCCGAGGUAGGAAACGUAACGAAGUAAGUAGACGCGAGAGACGCGACGACGACGACGACGGAGGGAGGAG